GUAACUGUCCAUAAAUAACUUAGUCAACUAAGUUAUUUUAAAGUUACCCGCCUAAGUUCUUCGAGAACUACGUUAGGGAUGAAAACAUAGGUACUCUCGCGAUGCUUCUCCAGUCCGAGACUCUACGGGGAACUAUUAAACAGGUCCGAUGGAAAGGCCAGUGUAGUUUCCAUUCAAAACCGUCCUAUAACAUUGGCUAGGAGACUAUUAC
rfam:Beggiatoa sp. 4572_84 ex4572_84_scaffold_1173, whole genome shotgun sequence.